GUUAAGUUUAUGCACGAGCUCAAUUCAUUCACAGCACACAAAUCAAACCUAGCAUUCCCCACAGCGCCACCGGCGACGAGAUUCUUCUUCUCCUUUUCUCACCCACAGCGCCACCGCCGGCCACUCUAAUCGCCGCAGCUACUUUCUCCUUCUUCUCCUCUUCUUUAAACACUGAACCAGUAGAAUACAGCCCCUGUGUCUCUCGUUCUUUCUCGUUCGCAGAAUAAAGCAAGCUCAAGCUCCACCACCACCGCGCCUCUCUCUCUCUUUUUAUCCCCCUCAGUUCUGGCUCGCAUACCUUCGCGCAAGCCCUAGCUCCGUGGCGACCAAAAUUGGUUCUACUGUCAGCCGCGGUUCCAUCUCUCUCUUUCCCCCUGUUCGAACCGAUAUGGUGCGUGAACUAGGGUUUUGGUUUUGUGGCAGUGGUUGUUCAUCGGAGAGCCACUGGCGAUGCUCCUAUUCUUAAGCAUUCUAAAUUCAAGUAUUAGUUUGGGAGGGAACUUGACAAUGGUGGAUCUUCCUGGUAUAACUAGGGUUUCUGUUCAUGGCCAGCCUGAAAAUAUCUUUGAUCAGAUCAAGGAUAUUAUCAUGGAGUAUAUUAGGCCUGAAGAGAGCAUUAUUCUGAAUGUUCUUUCUGCUACUGUUGAUUUUACUACUUGUGAAUCGAUAAGAAUCAAGAAUGUCUCAGUCUGUGGAUAAAACUGGUUUGAGAACCUUGGCUGUUGUAACAAAGGCUGAUAAGUCUCCUGAAGGCUUGUUGGAGAAGAGGCUAGUUCAAGUUCAAGGCAUGAUCAUAUCCAAAAUUCUGCCCGAAAUUGUGAAGAAAAUCAAUGAGAAGCUGACUUACAAGCUGACUUAAUUUCACCAAGAUGCUCAACCAGAAGUUCUCCCUCAAUCACAGUCAACGGAGACUAUUAAGAUCCCUACCACUAACUAUGAGUUUGGUGCAACCUUCAUUGAUCAUCCCAAGUUGAUGCUGUUGGGGAGAAUAUUGAUUGAUGGAAGGCUCAAUGCAAGAGUCAAGUGCGACGUCUUUGAAAAUCUCACUCUUAAAGCCAAUGCUCAGCUUAUGAAUGAGCCACACAUGUCUCAAGGGAUGGUCAACUUUGAUUACAAGUGAUUACAGCGUAUUUGAUGAGAACAUGGAAGGGAGCAUGAUAACCAUAGCAACUAUUUUCUGUAAUUCAGAUUUUCACUAGCAACACUUUCAGGGAAGAGUUUGAGACAGGGGAGUGUGAAACAAGGGAUUCAUGUAGUGAUACCUUGAGCGAUGAGAGUGAGUGUGAGAAGUUAUGGAGAUGGGAUGGGAGUUCCUCAGAAGAAGGUGGAAUGAAUAAUGUAGAACAAGAUUCUCAUCAAUUGCAUUUUAAUGAUAGAUUAGGUCAUCUCUAUUGUCAAUACUUUGAGAGAUCAACUCCAUAUGGAAGAGUUCCUCUAAUGGAUAAGUUGACUGAACAAAAAUUGACAAGAAAGGAAGGAAGCUUGCAGACAAGAUUGAAGCUUCUGGUUACUAUGUAAUUGUUCCAGACUUCUUUUAUGGUUGUAUGCAACUUGAAAUCCUCAUUUCUUGCUGUAGCUGAUGAUAGUGGUGAGGUGAAGUUGUAGGCAGACGGUACAAGAAGACAAAGCUCUUAUCUGUGAGGACUGGAAAGAAAAUAUUUUUCCCCUAUUAGAUUCAGCGCCUUCAAGGCUUAACCCAACAUUUUUUGGUAUAAAACAAUACUUUGCUGCAAAAAGUCUUAUUUCUUCACGGGGUUUCGAGAUAGAUGAUUUCCAUGGUUUUGGUAUGGUUCCCCUGGCAGACCUACCAAGCAGACAUUUAUUUGCGUGAUCCUGACCUGGAGGCUUUCAUAUUCUAAUGGUGUUUGUACCGUCAUGUGCUCCAGAUUCAAUCAUAAAACAGGGGCCGAGGAUGUGCAUUUCACCGCCUCAUCUAAUUCUGUAGCUGAUGAUGAUGUCGUUGAUGAUAAUAGUAACAAUGAUGAGGUAUUUUCUCUGGUAUCAAGGUGAUUGAUGAUGGUUUGGAUAGUUCUGUCAAUGAAAAAACAAAUGAUCUGGAGUCCCUUUUUAGAACAAAGGCCGAAACUCAUGACGCAGAAGGGAAUGUUGUUCCUGUGAGUGUCCAACCCCAAGAAGUAGUAGAAGUGCAGCCUAAUGAGAUCUCUAUUUUGUCUGAGAACCACCAAUCUGAAGUUAACUUGGGAUCUCAUGAUACUGAUGCUCAUGAACAUUUUGCAAAGGAGCCUCAUGGUUCUCAGGAUGCUAAAAUGAAUAAUACCGGAGUAAAUAUUGAGAUCUCUGAAGCCGAAAACUUAUGUGUUGCCCCUGGAACUGGGCAUGAAUCUUCAUCCUUAACUGAACUUGUUGAAAACAACCCUGUUGCGGAUAAAACCAAUGAUCUUGUUGAUUCUAUCCAUACAGAGAUGGGCAUCCCAUCUGAUUAGGAAAAUGUAUGGUGCAGGAAAAUGUCAUGAUUCCUGAUGACACAUGUUUGCUUCUCAAUCUUCUUCAUUGUUGAUGUUUAGACAAAUUCUUAAUAUGCAAUGUUUUUACAACCAUGUAGUUCCCUAUAUACUCAAACAGUAGCUAUUGAUACUAGACAUUGAUUCCAUCAUUUCAGCUUUGAAAUUGCAAACUAAUCAUUAAUAUGUAUUGGUUGGUGAAAACAGGAGUGAUACUGUAACCAUUGCCAAAAGGGUGACAAUGUCAAACGAGCUGCCAAGCAACUCAAGUCUUGCCUUUCUUGGAGAGACUCCAUAGGCAUCGGUAUCACAUCGUCAUAUUAAUUAUUUCUUUGCUGUUACAACUUACAAUUAUGCCUCUCACUCUCACUCUUUCGCAAUUCUGAACCUUUUAGCUCAUCACUUUGUUGCAUUAAAACAUAGAGGUAUGCUUAUAAUUUCCUGCUCUAGUUAUUAUGCCUCUCACUCUCGUUCUCACUCUUUCGCAAUUCUGAACCUUUAUGAGUGAAGCAAAAUUUGUCAUGUGCACAUUUAAUAUAGAGAGGUGAAGUUGCCAGUGAUAAUGGGGCAUUAAAGUAUACAACCACUAUUUGAUAAUGGUUCAAUUGAGAGUUUUCGUUUAGCUCUUCGUAUAUUUUGGUAUUAAAGUAUAUGAUUGUACUUUGUUAUGGCAGGUAUACUUUAUUUUGGACAAUGCUACUACUUAGCAAGCUUGCAUUCAGCUACUAUGUGGAGUCAGGAGAUAUCAAGAUUAACUUUCAAUGUGAAGCUUGAUGCUGCCGAUGCAAUUUAGUUAUCUAUUAAUAUUUUAGAUUAUUCUAUCUUUAAGUGCUAAGUGUAAUUUGUGACAUUCAUGUAACAUUAGGAUGGUCAUCUUAUUUUUUUUAGUAUCUUUUUAUUAAGACAGUGAGAUAUUGGCCAAUGAUGUUAAAAAAUAACCUCCAAUUUUAUAGGUAUCAUGUAAUGAAUAUUAUGUUUAUUUAUGUAAUUUUUGGCUUUCUUUUUUCAA